rnacentral:rRNA from 1 species
AUUGAACGCUGGCGGCAUGCUUUACACAUGCAAGUCGAACGGUAACAGGCCGCAAGGUGCUGACGAGUGGCGAACGGGUGAGUAAUGCAUCGGAACGUGCCCAGUCGUGGGGGAUAACGCAGCGAAAGCUGUGCUAAUACCGCAUACGAUCUACGGAUGAAAGCGGGGGAUCGCAAGACCUCGCGCGAUUGGAGCGGCCGAUAUCAGAUUAGGUAGUUGGUGAGGUAAAGGCUCACCAAGCCGACGAUCUGUAGCUGGUCUGAGAGGACGACCAGCCACACUGGAACUGAGACACGGUCCAGACUCCUACGGGAGGCAGCAGUGGGGAAUUUUGGACAAUGGACGCAAGUCUGAUCCAGCCAUUCCGCGUGCAGGACGAAGGCCUUCGGGUUGUAAACUGCUUUUGUACAGAACGAAAAGGUCUCUAUUAAUACUAGGGGCUCAUGACGGUACUGUAAGAAUAAGCACCGGCUAACUACGUGCCAGCCGCCGCCGUAA